GAGCACGUAGGUGGGUUUGUAAGUCAGAUGUGAAAGCCUUCUGUUCAACGGAAGAAUUGCAUCUGAAACUGCGAGUCUUGAGUGUAGGAGGGGAGAAUGGAACUUCAGGUGGAGCGGUGAAAUGUGUAGAUAUCAGAAGGAACGCCGGCGGCGAAAGCGAUUCUCUGGCCUAUUACUGACACUCAGUGUGCGAAAGCUAGGGGAGCAAACGGGAUUAGAUACCCCGGUAGUCCUAGCCGUAAACGAUGGGCACUAAGUAGAGGGGUUUU
rnacentral:rRNA from 1 species